rnacentral:rRNA from 1 species
GACGAACGCUGGCGGCGUGCUUAACACAUGCAAGUCGAACGGAAAGGCCCCUUUUUGGGUCCUCGCGUGGCGAACGGGUGAGUAACACGUGAGUAACCUGCCCUUGACUUCGGGAUAACUUCAGGCAACUGGGGCUAAUACCGGAUAGGAAUCCUUUCUUCAUGGUGGGGGUUGGAAAGCUUCGGCGGUUUUGGAUGGACUCGCUGCUUAUCAGCUUGUUGGUGGGGUAGUGGCUUACCAAGGCUUUGACGGGUAGCCGGCCUGAGAGGGCGACCGGCCAAAAUGGGAAUGGGAUAAGGCCCAGAAUCCUACGGGAGGCAGCAGUGGGGAAUAUUGCACAAUGGGCGGAAGCCUGAUGCAGCAACGCCGCGGGCGGGAUGACGGCCUUCGGGUUGUAAACCGCUUUCAGCAGGGGAGAAGCUUGUGGUGACGGUACCUGCAGAAGAAGCACCGGCUAACUACGUG